rnacentral:rRNA from 1 species
UACGUAGGCAGCGAGCGUUGUUCGGAUUUACUGGGCGUAAAGGGCGCGUAGGCGGCAAUUCAAGUCAUCUGUGAAAUCUCCGGGCUUAACUCGGAACUGUCAGAUGAUACUGCUUUGCUAGAGUGCAGAAGGGGCAAUCGGAAUUCUUGGUGUAGCGGUGAAAUGCGUAGAUAUCAAGAGGAACACCUGAGGUGAAGACGGGUUGCUGGGCUGACACUGACGCUGAGGCGCGAAAGCCAGGGGAGCAAACAGG